AGUGAACGCUGGCGGUAGGCCUAACACAUGCAAGUCGAACGGCAGCACAGUAAGAUCUUGCUCUUACGGGUGGCGACUGGCGGACGGGUGACGCAUACAUCGGAAUCUACUUUUUCGUGGGGGAUAACGUAGGGAAACUUACGCUAAUACCGCAUACGACCUACGGGUGAAAGCAGGAGAUCUUCGGACCUUUCGCGAUUGAAUGAGCCGAUGUCGGAUUAGCUAGUUGGCGGGGUAAAGGCCCACCAAGGCGACGAUCCGUAGCUGGUCUGAGAGGAUGAUCAGCCACACUGGAACUGAGACACGGUCCAGACUCCUACGGGAGGCAGCAGUGGGGAAUAUUGGACAAAGGGCGCAAGCCUGAUCCAGCCAUACCGCGUGGGUGAAGAAGGCCUUCGGGUUGUAAAGCCCUUUUGUUGGGAAAGAAAAGCAGCAGGUUAAUACCCCGCUGUUCUGACGGUACCCAAAGAAUAAGCACCGGCUAACUUCGUG
rnacentral:rRNA from 1 species